UAAAAUUAUGCUAAAAUUUAUCUCAUAUGCUACCUAUGUUGUUUGGUUUUGCUUAUUCUAGCAAUGUUUAUGUAUAUGUCUGAUCUCUUCAAAAAGGGAAUGAGAAAAUUUGAUGUGCAUGCUUUGAACCCAACUAUCUCCUGGUACAAUGAAAUUUGUUACCUAGGUUUCCUGGGAAUACACCACCAGGAACAGAUGAAGAUAAUGUGGUUGUGUAUUAUGUGAUAAUGAUUAUUCUGACAAAAGUAUUCACCCCACAGUAUGUUUUAACAUCUGUUGUUUAUUUUGGCAGGACUCUGCAUUUAUACUUUUAAGACAUUUAAGAGGGUGAACAUAUUUCUCAUUAAUGACCAUCGAAAUGGAAAAAUUGACAAGAGUCACAAGGGAUUAUAAUACCAGAGAUAUGACAAGGAACAUGAACCCAGGUGUUUCAGCUAGUAGGAUACUACAAGAAAAAAAGACUGGAAAAGGAAUGCUUUGCUGGAGAAACUCAUACAUUUGCUGUUCCAAGAGCAUCAAUGGAGUUUAUGAUCUGAAUAUGCUGUACAUGUAGAAAAUAAGUAAGUAUGUAAUCCCAUCACUUCAUAGAUGUGAUGAUAACUUAAAGAAUAUAUGAAACAGGAGAAAUCUUUACAGGUCUGCUGUAAUACAUUCAAUACAUUACAGAAGAGGCCAAAUUGAACAAAGAAGAGAAAGGCUGGGGAUCAAAUAGACAUCUGUUUUAGGUUUUUAUGAAAUAUUUGGAGACAGAUAGAAUUAUCUGCAAGAUUUUCUCCCUGCCUUUCCAGGUAGAGUUGCUGCCUUCAUACUUCCAGCAGCACUACAGCACUUCCUCUCUUUCACUUUAUAGGGGGUCAGGCUGUAGUCUUCACUAAAUUGUUCAUACUGAAGUUCUUCAUUGCCCAUACCUUAAUUGAAUCCUUUGCUUUGUGUCCCUUCUGGGUUCUUG
rnacentral:lncRNA from 1 species